CGUCUGUCGAGCUUGCUCACAGGCACAUCAUAUCCAUAACACCUGUGCACUUGUCGGAUGGCUUAGUGAAGACCGCAAGGUUGGAUCUAUCCAUCUACUUUGCAUAACAAUUCUGUAACAAAUGUAGUCUUAUUAUAACAUAAUAAAACUUUCAACAACGGAUCUCUUGGCUCUCGCAUCGAUGAAGAACGCAGCGAAAUGCGAUAAGUAAUGUGAAUUGCAGAAUUCAGUGAAUCAUCGAAUCUUUGAACGCACCUUGCGCUCCUUGGUAUUCCGAGGAGCAUGCCUGUUUGAGUGUCAUGAAAACCCUCAACCCUAGAUUGGUUAAAACCUUUCUUUGGUUUGGAUUUGGACGUUUGCCGAUGAUAAGUCGGCUCGUCUUAAAAGUAAUAGCUGGAUCUGUCUCGCGACAUGGUUUGACUUGGCGUAAUAAGUAUUUCGCUAAGGACAUCUUCGGAUGGCCGCGUUGCAGGACUAAAGACCGCUUUCUAAUCCAUUGAUCUUACGAUUAAUAUUCUUGACAUCUGGCCUCAAAUCAGGUAGGGCUACCCGCUGAACUUAAGCAUAUCAAUAAGCGGAGGA
rnacentral:rRNA from 1 species